rnacentral:rRNA from 1 species
CACCACAAUAUGUUCCUCUUCACAAGAUAUUACAUGUCUACGUAGGGAAGAAAGAGAGAGUGUUGUCGCGACGAUAUGUGUGCUGUUAUAACCUGCUAGAAACCUGCUACGUCACGUAGACUGGCAUGCAUGCGUCUCGUUUUUGACCUACGUGGCAGUUAGUAGGCAGCAGGAGUCAAGCACGUCCGUUUGACAGCAGGUGUGUCAUCAAGGCGAGAGUGUUAUACAUUGGCCGUAGAGAGACUCCGCAGGGGAGCCGAACAUAUAUGCAUAUAUGGAAACGUAGUUACUUUAGGUUUGUGUUAAGACAGAUGAUGAAAAGUAAGAAGUAUUAUUCUUGCUUACCAAACCUAAGAGGUAACUGCGCCUACACCUACACCUCCAACCCGGGCUUACGAGGUAAAAUACCAAUAAUAAUAGAGGCUCUGGGUCAGGACUUUUUUCUUUUAAGGUAGUCACUAGUAGCGGGGCGGGGACAACCAUCUUAGAGGUAACUCCGUAUAGGUAGAGGGGGUAUUUAUAUAUAUGCACCGUGUGAGUUAAACAGCUACAGUCAACAGCCUGGUGUUACCUCUUAACUGUACACCAAUCUUUGGUUCACUGUAAUUAUCUCAGUUCCUCCUCGCUUGUACUUCUCUUUUUGUUCGCUUUUACUUAAACAUAAACACCUACCUCUUCCUUUGCAACCCGAUCGAUCCUCCUUCUUUUGGCCCCACACGACCAACUUUUGUUGUACAAACUAACCACCCUCUUUUGACACCACACAUCCAACUGUGAAUGUUGUUAAGCACCACCCCCUCUUUUAAUACUACACUACCGGCCUUUAUCGUGUAAGUGAACACCAGUCGUACAUACACGGAAAACACAAAACACAUCUCUUAUAGAAAAAACUCACAACGGCAUAUACAGUGCACCGUACCGUUACGUGCCCGAAGAUUGAUUAUGAUUGCCAAUUCGAACCCUUACCAACGUCUUUACCACCAGCUCGGCAACUUGAGCGGGCACGAGUGGUGGCAGGAGCGGAAGGAAGAGCACCACUAGUGGGAGGAGCAGAGGUGGUCCGCGUCGUCGUCACGCGACGCCGACGGGGGCAGCGGCGCCCCGGACGGCCAGCAGCCGGUGGAGGUGGACGAGCCCUCGGACGGCGUGGCCUCGGAGGCCAGCGACCGGCGCAGGGUGCCGGGCCAGUACGUGGACGCCGAGCCGGCGCACGGGCGGCAGCACCGGAGGAGGCGCCGGCGCCGCCUCCUCCGGUACUUCUGGGCGCUGGACCUGAAGCGGCCGGCGGGGUCCGAGGAGUACCAGCUGGCGAAGAUGAUGCCGUGGCCGCCGUAGCCGAAGCGCGGGAUGCCGCUGGUGACCGCGGUCCGCGCGGCGCAGACGCGGCGGGUGUACGAGUCGCGCGCGGCGCAGCGCAGGGACCCGGCGCAGGCCCGCGUCCUCCGGCGGCGCGAGCAGCCGGCCCAGGCGGCCCGACCAAGGCCGCAGCACUUGGACUCGCUGUUGGAGCAGCAGAUGAGGUUGCGCCAGUAGAGGGCGACGUGCGAGCCGCUGCGCCUGACGCCCCACCUUCCGCCGCCGCGCUCCGACUCCUUCCGCAAGCCGCUCUACCUCCUCGAGGAGCCUUGCCACGGGUACCCCCUCUGCCACGGCACCGACCCUACCCACCUGUGCCACUGCCCUGACCUCGCCUCCCGCUCUGCUCAGAAGGUCCUCUACCUGCCCGACGACCUCGCCCAGUAGUGGCUGGUGGCGGUCGCUGCGGCACAACGGUGGCGGUGGUCCCUGCUCCUUCUGAAGCACCUGCACUACGACCGACCUGCGGCUGCUCGACCCGUGCCUGUCGUAGUUCAGGUAGUAGAACCUGCACGAGCGGCGGCGGUGCCUGAGCUGGAAGCGCGAGGAGCUCACCCGCUACCGCCUCGAGUAGUUGGUGGGCGUGCUCUACGCGUUCGAGGUCCGGCUCCAGGCGCGCCGGCAGAGGGGGCCGCGGCCGCGCCAGCAGUGCCUCCGGGUAGAGGGCGUGGACGGGAUGGACUUCCGGCACUAGUUGCUCUGGGACGCCGAGGUGGGCGGCAGCGGCGACGACGACGGCGCCCUCUGCGACCUCCUGUGGGCCGAUGACCCGGUGCUGCACGGCCGCCCGUGGGCCCAGGACUAGUUGCGGACCCGGUAGCCGGCGCUGGGCCGCUGCACCCCCGGGGCGCGGCUCCUCAAGCGCGGCCUCUCCAAGCAGCCCAUGCCGCCGGAGCCGCCACGGCCCGUCCUGAAGAGCAAGGACGGGAAGCCGCGGCCCUCUUCCCCGACGGGGCCCCACCUCAAGCGGUACGACAGGUUGCUCGACCGCGACCGCUCGGAGCACGUACCGAAGCUGACCCUCGAAGGGCCGCCCUCCCGCGGCGGCCACCUGUACUCGCUCGACAUGCCGGAGAGGCACACGGAGUUCCGCGGCGACGAAGACCGGCGGUUCGGCACCAGCAGGUACCUAUACCUACCGCAACUCACUCGAUCCUAGCUGCCACGAAGAAAAGAGAUGUAUAUACAGGUACUCUUCACAAUUUCACCCUUACAAAAAAAGAACUAAAAAAAAAUUUACCUCCGUUUUAUAAAAGAAGUUGAUAAAAUUAAUUCUAAAUUUUCUCACAUGUUUAUUAAUGUUCAAAAAAAAAAAAAACGCCUCCCGCAGCUAAAAUCAGAACAUACGCACUACCGUGAUUCUAUACCACACUUCUGGUAACGUACGUAAGACGAGUAACGCUUAACGGUUGUUCCCUAUACUAGGGGAAGAAAGAUUUCGGCAACUUGCCAAUGGUACCUUGUGGCGGUUAGGUA